rnacentral:rRNA from 1 species
UACGUAGGGUGCGAGCGUUGUCCGGAAUUAUUGGGCGUAAAGAGCUUGUAGGCGGUCUGUCGCGUCUGCUGUGAAAAUCCGGGGCUCAACCCCGGACUUGCAGUGGGUACGGGCAGACUAGAGUGUGGUAGGGGAGACUGGAAUUCCUGGUGUAGCGGUGAAAUGCGCAGAUAUCGGGAAGAACACCCGUGGCGAAGGCGGCUCUCUGGGACGGUACUGACGCUGAGACGCGAAAGCGUGGGGAGCGAACAGG